CCGUGGUGCUUGUCGGGCUGGGCUCUGAGAUGAACACUGCACCCUUUUUGGACGCAGCCCUCCGGGAAGUGGAUAUCAAGGGCGUGUUCUGAUACUGCAACAUGUGGCCAGUGGCGAUUUCGAUGCUGGCGUCCAAGACUGUGAAUGUAAAGUCCUUAGUCACCCAUAGGUUUCCUCUUGAGAAAGCUCUGGAGGCUUUUGAAACAUCCAAGGAGGGAGUGCGGGUGAAAGUCAUGAUCAAGUGUGACCCCAAUGACCAGAAUCCUUGAUGUUAAUUGGACUUGCCCUCAUCCCCCCUCUCAGCACCUCAGGGCCAACAGGCUGGGCAGGGGUAGGUGUGGGUUUGAUGCCAAAGUUUCUUUUGAAUGGUGAUUCAAUAAUUAUUAAUUAUAAUUCUUUGUAAACAGAA